rnacentral:rRNA from 1 species
CCUACGGGAGGCAGCAGUGAGGAAUAUUGGUCAAUGGACGCGAGCCUGAACCAGCCAAGUAGCGUGCAGGAUGACUGCCCUACGGGUUGUAAACUUCUUUUAUAAAGGAAUAAAGUGAGGCACGUGUGCCUUUUUGUAUGUACUUUAUGAAUAAGGAUCGGCUAACUCCGUGCCAGCAGCCGCGGUAAUACGGAGGAUCCGAGCGUUAUCCGGAUUUAUUGGGUUUAAAGGGAGCGUAGGUGGGUUGUUAAGUCAGUUGUGAAAGCUUGCGGCUCAACCGUGAAAUUGCAGUUGAUACUGGCAGGCUUGAGUGCAGUUGAGGUAGGCGGAAUUCGUGGUGUAGCGGUGAAAUGCUUAGAUAUCACGAAGAACUCCGAUUGCGAAGGCAGCUUACUAAGCUGCCACUGACAUUGAGGCUCGAAAGUGUGGGUAUCAAACAGGAUUAGAUACCCGAGUAGUC